UACAGAGGUCUCAAGCGUUGUUCGGAUUCAUUGGGCGUAAAGGGUGCGUAGGUGGCGCGGUAAGUCGGGUGUGAAAUCUCGGAGCUUAACUCCGAAACUGCAUUCGAUACUGCCGUGCUUGAGGACUGGAGAGGAGACUGGAAUUUACGGUGUAGCGGUGAAAUGCGUAGAGAUCGUAAGGAAGACCAGUGGCGAAGGCGGGUCUCUGGACAGUUCCUGACACUGAGGCACGAAGGCCAGGGGAGCAAACGGG
rnacentral:rRNA from 1 species